AGUAAUCAUGCCAUGAUGAAUGAUUUAGCAGAAGAGUUCUUGAAGACUAUAUUCAUCACCCAAUCCUGAUCACUCAAU
rfam:Drosophila pseudoobscura pseudoobscura strain MV2-25 chromosome XR unlocalized genomic scaffold ChXR_group8, whole genome shotgun sequence.